rnacentral:rRNA from 1 species
GAUGAACGCUGGCGGCGUGCCUAAUACAUGCAAGUCGAGCGAACAGAUGAGGAGCUUGCUCCUCUGACGUUAGCGGCGGACGGGUGAGUAACACGUGGAUAACCUACCUAUAAGACUGGGAUAACUUCGGGAAACCGGAGCUAAUACCGGAUAAUAUAUUGAACCGCAUGGUUCAAUAGUGAAAGACGGUUUUGCUGUCACUUAGAGAUGGAUCCGCGCCGCAUUAGCUAGUUGGUAAGGUAACGGCUUACCAAGGCAACGAGGCGUAGCCGACCUGAGAGGGUGAUCGGCCACACUGGAACUGAGACACGGUCCAGACUCCUACGGGAGGCAGCAGUAGGGAAUCUUCCGCAAUGGGCGAAAGCCUGACGGAGCAACGCCGCGUGAGUGAUGAAGGUCUUCGGAUCGUAAAACUCUGUUAUUAGGGAAGAACAAAUGUGUAAGUAACUAUGCACGUCUUGACGGUACCUAAUCAGAAAGCCACGGCUAACUACGUG